AAACCGUGUACGUACAAGCAGUGGGAGCACGCUUAGGCGUGUGACUGCGUACCUUUUGUAUAAUGGGUCAGCGACUUAUAUUCUGUAGCAAGGUUAACCGAAUAGGGGAGCCGAAGGGAAACCGAGUCUUAACUGGGCGUUAAGUUGCAGGGUAUAGACCCGAAACCCGGUGAUCUAGCCAUGGGCAGGUUGAAGGUUGGGUAACACUAACUGGAGGACCGAACCGACUAAUGUUGAAAAAUUAGCGGAUGACUUGUGGCUGGGGGUGAAAGGCCAAUCAAACCGGGAGAUAGCUGGUUCUCCCCGAAAGCUAUUUAGGUAGCGCCUCGUGAAUUCAUCUCCGGGGGUAGAGCACUGUUUCGGCAAGGGGGUCAUCCCGACUUACCAACCCGAUGCAAACUGCGAAUACCGGAGAAUGUUAUCACGGGAGACACACGGCGGGUGCUAACGUCCGUCGUGAAGAGGGAAACAACCCAGACCGCCAGCUAAGGUCCCAAAGUCAUGGUUAAGUGGGAAACGAUGUGGGAAGGCCCAGACAGCCAGGAUGUUGGCUUAGAAGCAGCCAUCAUUUAAAGAAAGCGUAAUAGCUCACUGGUCGAGUCGGCCUGCGCGGAAGAUGUAACGGGGCUAAACCAUGCACCGAAGCUGCGGCAGCGACGCUUAUGCGUUGUUGGGUAGGGGAGCGUUCUGUAAGCCUGUGAAGGUGUGCUGUGAGGUAUGCUGGAGGUAUCAGAAGUGCGAAUGCUGACAUAAGUAACGAUAAAGCGGGUGAAAAGCCCGCUCGCCGGAAGACCAAGGGUUCCUGUCCAACGUUAAUCGGGGCAGGGUGAGUCGACCCCUAAGGCGAGGCCGAAAGGCGUAGUCGAUGGGAAACAGGUUAAUAUUCCUGUACUUGGUGUUACUGCGAAGGGGGGACGGAGAAGGCUAUGUUGGCCGGGCGACGGUUGUCCCGGUUUAAGCGUGUAGGCUGGUUUUCCAGGCAAAUCCGGAAAAUCAAGGCCGAGGCGUGAUGACGAGGCACUACGGUGCUGAAGCAACAAAUGCCCUGCUUCCAGGAAAAGCCUCUAAGCAUCAGGUAACAUCAAAUCGUACCCCAAACCGACACAGGUGGUCAGGUAGAGAAUACCAAGGCGCUUGAGAGAACUCGGGUGAAGGAACUAGGCAAAAUGGUGCCGUAACUUCGGGAGAAGGCACGCUGAUACGUAGGUGAAGCGACUUGCUCGUGGAGCUGAAAUCAGUCGAAGAUACCAGCUGGCUGCAACUGUUUAUUAAAAACACAGCACUGUGCAAACACGAAAGUGGACGUAUACGGUGUGACGCCUGCCCGGUGCCGGAAGGUUAAUUGAUGGGGUUAGCGCAAGCGAAGCUCUUGAUCGAAGCCCCGGUAAACGGCGGCCGUAACUAUAACGGUCCUAAGGUAGCGAAAUUCCUUGUCGGGUAAGUUCCGACCUGCACGAAUGGCGUAAUGAUGGCCAGGCUGUCUCCACCCGAGACUCAGUGAAAUUGAACUCGCUGUGAAGAUGCAGUGUACCCGCGGCAAGACGGAAAGACCCCGUGAACCUUUACUAUAGCUUGACACUGAACAUUGAGCCUUGAUGUGUAGGAUAGGUGGGAGGCUUUGAAGUGUGGACGCCAGUCUGCAUGGAGCCGACCUUGAAAUACCACCCUUUAAUGUUUGAUGUUCUAACGUGGACCCGUGAUCCGGGUUGCGGACAGUGUCUGGUGGGUAGUUUGACUGGGGCGGUCUCCUCCUAAAGAGUAACGGAGGAGCACGAAGGUUGGCUAAUCCUGGUCGGACAUCAGGAGGUUAGUGCAAUGGCAUAAGCCAGCUUGACUGCGAGCGUGACGGCGCGAGCAGGUGCGAAAGCAGGUCAUAGUGAUCCGGUGGUUCUGAAUGGAAGGGCCAUCGCUCAACGGAUAAAAGGUACUCCGGGGAUAACAGGCUGAUACCGCCCAAGAGUUCAUAUCGACGGCGGUGUUUGGCACCUCGAUGUCGGCUCAUCACAUCCUGGGGCUGAAGUAGGUCCCAAGGGUAUGGCUGUUCGCCAUUUAAAGUGGUACGCGAGCUGGGUUUAGAACGUCGUGAGACAGUUCGGUCCCUAUCUGCCGUGGGCGCUGGAGAACUGAGGGGGGCUGCUCCUAGUACGAGAGGACCGGAGUGGACGCAUCACUGGUGUUCGGGUUGUCAUGCCAAUGGCACUGCCCGGUAGCUAAAUGCGGAAGAGAUAAGUGCUGAAAGCAUCUAAGCACGAAACUUGCCCCGAGAUGAGUUCUCCCUGACCCUUUAAGGGUCCUGAAGGAACGUUGAAGACGACGACGUUGAUAGGCCGGGUGUGUAAGCGCAGCGAUGCGUUGAGCUAACCGGUACUAAUGAACCGUGAGGCUUAACCUUACAACGCCGAAG
rnacentral:rRNA from 1 species